rnacentral:lncRNA from 1 species
AGCUCAUGGAAAUAAAAGCUAGCAAAUCUAAGCUACAGCACUGUCGUCCCCAUCAAGAGCUGUUUCCAGAGUAUCUUCCUCACCGUCUGCUCCCAUCCAAGUGGAUGAUCAUCGCAAAAGAAAAAGCAUACCACAUAGCACAAACACAAGCAAGCAAGGGUGAGCUAAUGAUAUAAAAAGCAUAAAAUUAAGAGCAUGUACAUACAAGAUAUUAAUUUAAAGAAAACAAGAUAAAACAUUCAUCCUAUCAUGUUAAAUACUAGCUUGACUCGUCCGGACUUUAGAAUGAUAGUCGAGCUAUAGCGGGUCAUGCACCCGUGGUGGCUUGUGAUACUUAGGCUCUACCGCCUUGGGCUCCCCCGCCCGCCACACUCACGAGGUUAGUCCGUUACACGCCUUGGAGCAUGAUGGAAGCCUCCAAGACUAAGACCUCCUGCUACUCUUCACCACAUGGUUCAGUCCUCUCUACGUGAGAAGAAAAACCAUUGGAGCGUCAAGAAGACCCCCAAGACUGAGCUCCUACUUUCAUUCUAAAACACUAAGAAUCUCACCGAGAGAUUUUACAAUUAAACCACCACCAAUAACCUUGAAACCAUGUUUAUUUCUUUCCCAAUUCAUAUACCUUUGAAUUAUAAUCAAACCACGUGUUUAAGCUUUAAAGAAAGUCAUAUGUAUCAGAACAUCCUCCACAACCACUUCCAAUCAUCUCAAAUAGACAAUACUGUCAUGUUAUCACCAAACAAUAAUAUAUACCAAACAGAAAUUGAUAAAAAUCAUGAAUUAUAUAUAAAAAUAAUAUCAUAAUCUUUGAAAGCUAAAACAAAU